CCGAAAAUGGUAACAAAUAUUUGUUAGUUAUUGUGGACGGGUUUUCCAAGUUUACCUAUAUUAAUCCAGUUCCAAAUACUUCUGCUAAACAGGUGCUAAAACAGCUACAAAGCCUCUUCUCCAUCCUGGGUAACCCCAGGCGUAUAAUAGCAGAUGCCGGAACCGCAUUUACAUCGAGUGAAUUUAAAAACUACUUGGAUAGUAAAGGUAUUCGAUUGUUUACAACAGCUGUAGGCACACCCAGAGGGAAUGGACAGGUCGAACGGGUCAAUAAGGUGAUCUUAGAUGCUCUUGCGACGUCAGGUGCAGACAUUAGUAAAAGUCAGUGGGACUCAAAAAUCGGUCAAAUACAACAGGGAAUAAAUAGCACUAAACACCGAAUCACACAAUACACGCCCUCAGAAUUACUUCUUGGAUUCAAUCUUAAAACUGACAGCGAUCGACAUAACAUGUCAGAUGAGGAAAUUCUGGACGUAACCAAAAAAGCAGCUAAAAAUCUCGAAGACAACCGAAUUAAUCAAAACCUUAGCUUUAAUAAAAAGAGAGCCCCACCUCAAUAUUUUUCAGUCGGCGACCUAGUUCUUAUAAAAGUUACUAGUUUUCCAGCCAACAACGAAAGUAAGAAGCUACUACCAAAGUUUAGGGGGCCUUUUCGAAUAGUCGAAAUUUUGCCAAAAUGAUCGAUAUCGUGUCAAAGAGGACAUCCACACCGAAAGAUCACAGAAACCUUACGAAGGGGUCUUCAGUCUGGAUAACAUCAAAACAUUUGAAUCCAAAAGUCAUCAAGUCGUCAUGUAAAAAUCCUCGCGAGGACGCAAGGACUAGAGGAUGGCCGUGCGGUCAUAUCACACGUGUCUACCAAAAGUAGUCAGGCAUUUAUGAGUCAGCAUAGUAACGACGAGUUUCGGGGAGAAUAAAUUAGAACUCCCAAGCGUAAACACGCAAAGGGUAUUGUAACGUAUUUUCGUAUUGUCAAAUUAUUAUUUAUUGAUAAUAAUUGUUGGUAACGUGUUCUUUAUAUAUUAUACAUACACUUUGUGAAUUUGAAACAGGCUUUCAUUACAAAAGCCCACAAUAGUUUGUAAAGUCAGUAAAGUUAUAAUUGAUAUAUUCAUCGAUAUUAAAAAAAACUCUUGCCCACAA